rnacentral:ncRNA from 2 species
UGAUUGCCAUAGCUCCGAGUCUGAUGAGCUAAGUCACUCACUCUGCCGGUGCCGUUCAGGUGUGUUCGGCACAAGAACAGAGCGGAAGAAGAUAGGCACUUCAGACCAGUGGCCGAAUUUUGGCCCAAGGGUAAGGUUGGAAAUGAUCUUGCCUCCCGUGUUUGGAAAGGUGUUCCAUGGCUCUACAA